rnacentral:rRNA from 1 species
CCUACGGGAGGCAGCAGUAGGGGAUAUUGCUCAAUGGGGGAAACCCUGAAGCAGCAACGCCGCGUGGGGGAUGAAGGUUUUCGGAUUGUAAACUCCUUUUGUUAGAGAAGAUAAUGACGGUAUCUAACGAAUAAGCACCGGCUAACUCCGUGCCAGCAGCCGCGGUAAUACGGAGGGUGCAAGCGUUACUCGGAAUCACUGGGCGUAAAGAGCGCGUAGGCGGGAUAGCAAGUCAGAUGUGAAAUCCUAGGGCUUAACCAUAGAACUGCAUUUGAAACUGUUAUUCUAGAGUAUGGGAGAGGUAGGUGGAAUUCUUGGUGUAGGGGUAAAAUCCGUAGAGAUCAAGAGGAAUACUCAUGGCGAAGGCGACCUGCUAGAACAUAACUGACGCUGAUGCGCGAAAGCGUGGGGAGCAAACAGGAUUAGAUACCCCUGUAGUC